GCACUGUCGACGAGUCCAACAAUAGGACGAAACGGCCGUCCAGUGC
rnacentral:hammerhead_ribozyme from 1 species